rnacentral:lncRNA from 1 species
AUCCAAUCCAGUGCCACUACACAAUGGAUUUAAACAUGUACACCUAGACUGACAAAUUGAAUUCCAGCCCCAAACUAUAUUUGAGCAGAUCGUAGUCUUAUAAAAGGUUUGGAGAAGCCUUCACUCAUUAAAAUAUGUGAGCUUUAGAAAUAUAUCCUGUCACUGAUUAGAAAUAAAGACUAGAAUUUCCUCAUGCUGUAUGAUCUGAAGAAAAGGGUACACUUUUCUAGUCAUCAUAGUGCUCACCAUCAUCACCGUCAUCACCCACAUCACCAUCAUCACCAUCAUCAUCACCAUCACCAUCAUCACCAUCAUCAUCAUCAUCACCAUCAUCAUCAUCACCAUCAUCAUCACCAUCACCGUCAUCACCAUCAUCACCAUCAUCACCUGCAUCACCAUCAUCAACAUCAUCACCAUCAUAGUCACCAUCAUCACCCACAUCACCAGCAUCACCAUCAUCAUCAUCACCAUCACCAUCACCAUCACCAUCACCAUCAUCACCAUCAUCACCUGCAUCACCAUCAUCAUCACCUGCAUCACCAUCAUUAUCACCAUCAUCACCAUCAUCACCAUCACCACCACCAUCAUCAACACCAUCACCAUCAUAAUUAUCAUCACCAUCAUCAUCACCAUCAUCAUCAUCAUCAUCACCAGCAUCACCAUCAUCAUCACCAUCAUCAUCAUCAUCAUCACCAGCAUCACCCACAUCACCAGCAUCACCAUCAUCAUCAUCAUCACCAGCAUCAUCACCUGCAUCACCAUCACCAUCAUCAUUAUCAUCAUCACCAUCAUCAUCAUCACCAUCAUCACCACCAUCAUCAUUACCAUCACCAGCAUCACCAUCAUCAUCAUUACCAUCACCACCACUACUAUCACUAUGAUCACCAUCACCAUCAUCACUAUCAUCAUCAGCAUCAUCACCAUCACCACCGUCAUCAACACCAUCACCAUCAUCAUUAUCAUCACCAUGAUCAUCAUCACCAUCAUCAUUACCACCAUCAUCAUCACCAUCAUCAUCACCAUCAUCAUCAUCAUCACCAUCACCAUCAUCACCAUCAUCACCAUCAUCAUUACCACCACCACCAUCACCGGCAUCACUAUCAUCAUCAGCAUCAUCACCAUCACCACCACCAUCAUCAACAUCAUCACCAUCAUCAUUAUCAUCACCAUCAUCAUUAUCAUCACCAUCAUCAUCAUCAUUACUAUCAUUACCAUCAUCAUCACUAUCACUGUCAUCAUCAAUGUCACUACCGUCAGCAGCAUCACUAUCACGUAAGUGAACUUCUAUUUAUGGAGGACAGUAAACACUGGGCUAUGAGGAAGGGGUAGGGUACAUUAUUGUGUUUUUUGCCUGGUUUGGCUGAGACAUGAAGUAGAAACAAAUAUUAAGGAGUUUUAGAAUAGCUACUUAUGACACUAUGACCCUGUGGCAGACUUGGAGUACAGACUCAGAGAACUUUAGGUCCGGUCCGACCUCUAGCAAUCACUAGCUUUUGGUCUAAG